UGGGGAAUAUUGGACAAUGGGCGGAAGCCUGAUCCAGCAACGCCGCGUGAGGGAUGACGGCCUUCGGGUUGUAAACCUCUUUCAGUACCGACGAAGCGAAAGUGACGGUAGGUACAGAAGAAGGACCGGCCAACUACGUGCCAGCAGCCGCGGUAAUACGUAGGGUCCGAGCGUUGUCCGGAAUUAUUGGGCGUAAAGGGCUCGUAGGCGGUUUGUCGCGUCGGGAGUGAAAACAGCGGGCUUAACUCGUUGCUUGCUUUCGAUACGGGCAGACUAGAGGUAUGCAGGGGAGAAUGGAAUUCCUGGUGUAGCGGUGAAAUGCGCAGAUAUCAGGAGGAACACCGGUGGCGAAGGCGGUUCUCUGGGCAUUACCUGACGCUGAGGAGCGAAAGUGUGGGGAGCGAACAGGAUUAGAUACCCUGGUAGUCCACACCGUAAAACGUUGGGCGCUAGGUGUGGGGUCCUUUCCACGGAUUCCGUGCCGUAGCUAACGCA
rnacentral:rRNA from 1 species